rnacentral:rRNA from 1 species
AGAGUUGAUCAUGGCUCAGGAUGAACGCUAGCGACAGGCUAACACAUGCAAGUCGAGGGGCGAGCAUAGAAGUAGCAAUACUCGGUGGCGACCGGCGCACGGUGAGUAACGCGUAUGCAACCUACCUAUCAGAGGGGAAUAACCCGGCGAAAGUCGGACUAAUACCGCAUAAAACAGGGGCACCGCAUGGUGAUAUUUGUUAAAGAAAUUCGCUGAUAGAUGGGCAUGCGUUCCAUUAGGUAGUUGGUGAGGUAACGGCUCACCAAGCCGACGAUGGAUAGGGGAACUGAGAGGUUGGUCCCCCACACUGGUACUGAGACACGGACCAGACUCCUACGGGAGGCAGCAGUGAGGAAUAUUGGUCAAUGGGCGGGAGCCUGAACCAGCCAAGUCGCGUGAAGGAAGAAGGAUCUAUGGUUCGUAAACUUCUUUUGCAGGGGAAUAAAGUGCAGGACGUGUCCUGUUUUGUAUGUACCCUGAGAAUAAGGAUCGGCUAACUCCGUGCCAGCAGCGGC